rnacentral:lncRNA from 1 species
AUGGAGACAGAAUAUUCAGAAAUCUUAUGCCAUGUACCUACACACUUUUUAACCCUUUUCACUGCCGUCGACAGGUUACUGAAGAAUUGGCCUGCACUCAAGUCUUACUUUAUGAGCAAAGAAGAGGAAACAGUGAGCUGUGCAAUAUGGGCCUUUCUUUCUGAGCAGGAGGACACAGUAUCCAAUGAUGAAACUAUUACGCUUCCCGAGCUGUACAUAUACUUUGUGCACAACAUUAUGAGCCAAUUUAACAACACGAUAAAGGUUCUUGAAAGUGAUUACAUUCAGGUAACUGACCUGUAUGCUAUAUUCAACAAGCUGAGAAGAGAGAUUCAGAUUCGACAAGAGCAAGGCUUCUAUGGAUACAAGGUGACACAGUUCUUGAAGAAACUGCCGCCUAACGAGCAAAAUAAAUUUGUUGGAGAUGCCCAACGGGUUUACACACGCAUGCUACAGUACCUGGAAAAGUGGUUUGAUUUCAGCGAAAACUCUUUCUAUAUGUUGUGUGCGCCGCUCAGUCUGGACAGACCUCUUGAACUAGACAAACUGUGUGCUUUGACUACAAACUUGGACAUUCAAGUGGACGGCGAUGAACUAUUUACAGAAAUGUGUACAUUGAAUGAUGUGCUACCAACCCUAAAGAGUUUGACAAAUGAUGCUGAAUUAACAUUGUGUCAGGAGCAACAAGUGCACCAUCAUCAAAUCAAUGUCUCUGAAGUAUGGGUAGAGUUCUUUAAGCACUUGGAGGCCCCGAGCUUACUUAAAAUUGUGCAGCAUGUGCUUGCUAUACCACCCGGCAAUGCAUUUGUGGAACACAUUUUCAGUGUUCUGAAGAACUUGUGGACUGAUGAAAGGAAUCCGCUCAAAGUGGACCUGGUGAAAGCUGAGCUAUUCGUGCACUUCAACUAUAAAAUGACAUGUGCCAAGUUUGCUGGAUUUUUGAAGACAGAAGCAGCUAAAGAGCUUGUGGUGGCAGCAAGAAAAGAACAGAAGUAUAAAUGUAAGUAG